rnacentral:rRNA from 1 species
AUGCAGCGGGCAAAGACGAAGAUGGCUGAGCUGGCUAAGGCGCACGCCAAGGCCUUGAUGCCGUCCUUCGGCGAUGGCAGAGAUGAUCAGCGAGCAAUUGAGAUUCUCACGCAUGAGAUAACUGACCUGCUGAAGAGGUCAGAAAAGAAGCUGCAGAAGCUGUCCAUGAAAGACUCCUCAGAAGAUUCGAAUGUCAGAAAGAAUGUCCAGCGUUCCCUUGCUACAGACCUGCAAACUCUUUCGAUGGAGUUCAGGAAAAAGCAGUCAACUUAUUUGAAGCAGCUUCGCCAACAGAAAGAGGGGCAAGAUGGUGUUGAUUUAGAAAUGAAUAUGAAUGGGUCUAAGUCGACGUUUGAACUUGAAGAUGAUGAAUUUGAGGAUGUGGGUUUCACUGAGGUUCAGAUGUCAAAACUUAAGAAAAGCGAAGCGUUCACUAGAGAAAGGGAGAGAGAAAUCGAACAGGUUGCCCAAUCAGUCAAUGAGCUUGCACAGAUCAUGAAGGAUCUUUCAGUUCUUGUGAUUGAUCAGGGAACAAUUGUUGAUCGGAUAGACUACAAUGUACAGAAUGUUGCGGCCUCAGUCGAAGAGGGCUAUAAACAGUUGCAAAAGGCUGAGAGGACGCAGAAGAAAGGGGGCAUGGUGAUGUGUGCCACUGUCCUGGUCAUUCUUAUCUUCAUCCUGAUAAUCCUCCUGGUUUUGAAGAAGAUCCUUUUCUGA